rnacentral:tRNA from 1 species
CAAAGAAUAGUUUAAGUUAGAACCCUAGCUUUGGGAGUUAGAGGUGGA